rnacentral:rRNA from 1 species
UACGGAGGAUCCAAGCGUUAUCCGGAUUUAUUGGGUUUAAAGGGUGCGUAGGCGGCCAAUUAAGUCAGGGGUGAAAGACGGUAGCUUAACUAUCGCAGUGCCUUUGAUACUGAUUGGCUUGAAUGUACUUGAGGUAGGCGGAAUGUGACAAGUAGCGGUGAAAUGCAUAGAUAUGUCACAGAACACCAAUUGCGAAGGCAGCUUACUAAAGUAUGAUUGACGCUGAGGCACGAAAGCCAGGGGAGCAAACGGG